rnacentral:rRNA from 1 species
GACGAACGCUGGCGGCGUGCCUAAUACAUGCAAGUCGAGCGAGGCGGCGGAUGGGUGAGUAAGGCGUGGGUAACCUGCCCUUAAGUCUGGGAUAGCAUUUGGAAACAGAUGCUAAUACCGGAUACUUAAGGAUGGGCCGGCGAUGCGUUAGCUAGUGGGUAAGGUAACGGCUUACCAGGGCGAUGAUGCAGAGCCGGGUUGAGAGGCUGAUAGGCUACAUGGGGACAGAGACACGGCCAAAACUCCUACGGGAGGCAGCAGUGGGGAAUCGUGCACAAUUGAAGAAAGUGUGAUAGAGUAAUGCCGCGUGAGUGAAGAAGGUUUUCGGGUCUUAAAGCUCUGUUGUUGGUGAAGCGGUAAUCAACCAGAAAGCCACGGCUAACUACGUGCCAGCAGCCGCGGUAAUUC